UUUGGGCCUUCUAGGUUUCCACUGUUCCAGAAUCCUAAGAAGUCAGAAGUCCUGAGGCUUUAAUACUGAGCAUCUCUGUGGUGGCAGGCAGGGUGCUCACAGCAGGUGUGCCCAGUAGUCCGCAGCCUCCUUGAAAGCCUGGAUACGGAGUAAGUUAAGAACCGUAUUGAUGAACUAACUGAGGCUCAGAGAGAUGGAGUGACACGCAAGAAGUCCCAUGAAUGUCAAGUCAGACCCGCUGGAGGGUGGCAGCCACUUGUGUCUGAUUUCUAUUCAGCUUUCCAGUGCUGGAGCCUGAGAACUGCUACUAAUUUGUUCUUUCGAAGGAAGUUUAUGAACUCCAAUAGGAAAACUCAUAAAACAGAUGAGGAAAACAGCUGUGAAGCCUGCCUGCUGGUGAGCUUGGUUCCCAGAGACUUGAAUGAAUCUCUGACCCGUCUCCCUCUGGGACAGUUGGUCCUGCCACCAUCCCCCAGGAGUGACAACCGAAUCCAGUCAAAGGAUGCCUCUCAGAUACUCAUGCUC